GUACACACCGCCCGUCAAGCCACGAAAGUGGGGGGCAUCCGAAGUCGCCGUGCUAACCGUAAGGAAGCAAGCGCCGAAGAUGAACUCUGCGAUYGGGACUAAGUCGUAACAAGGUARCCGUAGGUGAACCUGCAGAAGGAUCA
rnacentral:rRNA from 1 species